AUAUACUGGUACAAAAUCAUAAAUGUACAGUAUCCUGCCAGGGGACUUCAGAUCUAUAGUGACUCAUUACAUUAGCCUCAUGUCGAGUGUACCACUCGGAUAUCCUUUUCCUGGGCGUGAGCAGCCAAAGUUUAAGAUUCUAUGGAAGACCGAAGAACUGAUAGGAGUAUCACACUAGGAGUACCUUGAAAAUAAACCUGAUUAAAGGGAAAAUAACUUGAAAAUCACAAUUCCAUCUGAAAAUUGUGUAUAGCUACUGUUGUCACAGUGUUUCACUAUCCUUUAUAAAUGUGGACAUCACAACUGGAUGCAGCAUUCCAGGAUCAGUCUCACCAC